AGAACGAACGCUGGCGGCAGGCUUAACACAUGCAAGUCGAGCGAAGACUUCGGUCUUAGCGGCGGACGGGUGAGUAACGCGUGGGAACGUGCCCUUUGCUACGGAAUAGUCCCUGGAAACGGGGUUUAAUACCGUAUGUCCUCUUUGGAGGAAAGAUUUAUCGGCAAAGGAUCGGCCCGCGUUGGAUUAGGUAGUUGGUGGGGUAAUGGCCUACCAAGCCGACGAUCCAUAGCUGGUUUGAGAGGAUGAUCAGCCACACUGGGACUGAGACACGGCCCAGACUCCUACGGGAGGCAGCAGUGGGGAAUCUUAGACAAUGGGGGAAACCCUGAUCUAGCCAUGCCGCGUGAGCGAUGAAGGCCUUAGGGUUGUAAAGCUCUUUCGCUGGGGAAGAUAAUGACGGUACCCAGUAAAGAAGCCCCGGCUAACUCCGUGCCAGCCGCCGCGGU
rnacentral:rRNA from 1 species